AGUGAACGCUGGCGGUAUGCCUAACACAUGCAAGUCGAACGGCCGCACAGUAAGAUCUUGCUCUUACGGGUGGCGAGUGGCGGACGGGUGAGGAAUACAUCGGAAUCUACUUUUUCUUGGGGGAUAACGUAGGGAAACUUACGCUAAUACCGCAUACGACCUACGGGAUUAUUCAGGGGUUCUUCGUACCUUGCGCGAUUGAAUUAGCCGAUGUCGGAUUAGCUAGUUGGCUGGGUAAAGGCCCACCAAGGCGACGAUCCGUAGCUGGUCUGAGAGGAUGAUCAGCCACACUGGAACUGAGACACGGUCCAGACUCCUACGGGAGGAAGCAGUGGGGAAUAUUGGACAAUGGGCGAAAGCCUGAUCCAGCCAUACCGCGUGGGUGAAGAAGGCCUUCGGGUUGUAAAGCCCUUUUGUUGGGAAAGAAAAGCAGCAGGUUAAUACGCCGCUGUUCUGACGGUACCCAAAGAAUAAGCACCGGCUAACUUCGUG
rnacentral:rRNA from 1 species